GACGAACGCUGGCGGCGUGCCUAAUACAUGCAAGUCGAACGCAGAGGGAGGGGCUUUGUCUUCUGGACGAGUUGCGAACGGGUGAGUAACACGUGGGUAACCUGCCCGUUAGCGGGGGAUAACUAUUGGAAACGAUGGCUAAUACCGCAUAAGAGUAGCUGUUGCAUGACAUUUGCUUGAAAGGUUCGAUUGUGUGACUACCAGUUGGGGCUUCGUUGUAUUAGGUGGUUGGUGGGGUUACGGCUCACCAAGGCGACGAAACAUAGCCGAACUGAGAGGGGGAGCGGCCACACUGGGACGGAGACACGGCCCAGUCUUCCUCGGGAGGCAGCAGGAGGGAAACUUGGGCCAUGGGCGGAAGUCUGACCGAGAAACGCCGCGGGAGUGAAGAAGGUUGUCGGAUCGGAAAGCUCGGUUGUAAGAGAAGAACGAGUGUGAGAGUGGAAAGUUCACACUGUGACGGUAUCUUACCAGAAAGCGACGGCUAACUACGUG
rnacentral:rRNA from 1 species